rnacentral:lncRNA from 1 species
CUACAUUGUAGAAAUAGUAGAAGAUCAAAGUCCAUUUGAUACAAUAUUAUUUAAAAAAAUCUUCUUAGCCAUUAUCAUCUAUCCUAUUAUCAUAACUUGUAGCUUUUAUUGCUACAAUCUCAUGUGCAACCAAAUAAUUCUUAAUCAAUGCUUUCAUAUCUUUCUUAUUUAAGUUGAUUUGGAGAAGAUUACUAAUAUCAUUCAAUGCCACCUUCCCAUCUUUUUAAAAAAUAAUAUCUUAUUGCAUCAUUUCAUUGAAUUC